UGUGCUUGUAAGUGAUCUCUUGUGGGGCUUCUCACGUCUGUGGUUGCAGGUUUUAGCCACAUCUGAGAGAAGGUGCUGCAGUGCUGAUGAGAGUGAUCACUGGAAACAGAAAGGUUGUGAGAGCAGGAGAGAUGAAAACUGCUAAUUCUUCAAAUGCAAGUGAGGAGCUGUGAUAAAACCCAACUUUGUGCCUACACCAAUGUCAACCAGCAGACUGCCUACAGAAUGGGGCGCCUCACAGAGCACAACCUGCCAGAAGAACAGGUGUGUAGGUGUUUU
rnacentral:lncRNA from 1 species